UGCAACUUGAAUCUUAAAAGUUUGGUUUUCUCAACCAAAAAUCUAACUCCAAAUAUCUCCCUAAAAUUUUCGUGAAACCAAAUUCCCUCCUAAAAUAUUUGCGAAAACCAAAUUCCCUCAUAAAAGAUUUGCGAAAACUAGAUUUCCCACUAAAGCUCGCCAAACACCCAAAGUUUUCGCAUCUUAUCAAAUAGAACACUUUCAGUUUUAGGUAACGACUUUCAUCUUAUCAAAUAAAAUCUCUCAAAACCCUAGAAAAUGACUCACAUCUUCUUCUCGAAAUAAUCAUUCGCUUGAACUUAUACAAUUUUGAAUCACACACAUAAAGACUCGAAAUCCCUAAUUUCCUAUCUCAUACAUCAAACUCAUCCAUCAAAAGAGAUCUACACGUCAGUUCGAUCAAUUUUUGGGUUUUGGUGACUUAUAGCAGGUCAUUUUCUCACCUCUCUCUCUGAAGUUUCAAUUCUAAUACGAGUUUAAUUUAAGUUGGGUUUCUAAUGUUCUUCAUUAUUUUUUUUUGUAAGUUGUUUUCUUUCGUUUUUGAAGAUUCAAUUUGAAGAAGAGUAAGUUUCCAGUCCCUAUUUUUUUAAAUUAUUUUUUCUUAGCCUUCUUUUGUUUAGGUAAAACUGUUUUGUAUGUGGUUCUCAUAUUCAAUUGUUAGGGCUAUCGAAUCUAAUUAUUGUUUUGUUGAGAUUUGGGUUUGGUUCUAAUGUUCACUUGUACGGUAGGCAUUUUGUGGUGGUAGAUACUUAGUCCUAAUCAUUGGACAUGUAUUGAACCAACUUUAUUUCAUUACUAUGGUACUUCAAGCAAAAAACAGGAGAUGCUACCUUGAAUUUAAACUAUAAUAAAAAUGACGAAAAACAAAUUGUUUAGGACUGCAUAAAUCUGGUUUAACUAUGAACUGUUAAUAAUCCUUCCUUUAGAUUUAGAUUCACUUAUUUUUUAGUUUUUUUUUUUGAGAAUUUAUUUUUUGUAUUCUGGUUUUGUUUAUUGUUCCACAUCCAUAAGAAUAUGUUGUUGUGCCAAAUUAACUUGUUUGCUUUUAUCUACUUAUGCAAAGCAUCAGGUUAGUUUGAGGAAUGUAGUGAUAUAUGAAUGAUCAUUACCCAUCAUAUCUAGGCAUACAAGAACUAUUGUUACCCCUCAUAUCAAGCAUAUCCUGUUUGGCAGUUGUCUAGCUUUCUUGCCACUAUCACUGAGCUAACAUGAUGGUAAAUAAACAAAGUGGAGAGCAAGUUCAGCAUUCCAAUUUCGCAGAUACUGGUAAAAUCUUGUUUAAUAUUGUUGAGUUAAGAUGUAUCUUUACUGGUAAAAUGUUAAAGUCUUGUUUAAUAUUGUUGAGUUUAGAUGUAUUUUCAGUUGUGUGCAAAAUGUUGAUAUUUCUCUCUAAGCAGCUGCCGUCCUUAUAAAGAGAAAAGUUCGAGGUGAUGCCACUCUUGCAUCUUUCGUGAGAAACAAACAACCUAAGGUAAAAGUUGAUUUGGAUGGCAAACCUAGUGGAGACAAUCAAGCACGACAUUCUGAUGUCAUCGGGUGUUGCGUAAACAAUCUCGCCUUUUCAACUGGCCCAAGCUUUGGAAUUUGGAAAUUUUGCUGGCUGAUGAGGCUAAGGAUUGGUUAUGGUGAACAUACUCAGCAGAACUUUAUAUCAUCUUUGUUUUUUAUUUGCCAUUUGAUUUGUUAGUGUAACUUAUGAACUGAAUUCUAUAGAUGAAUGUUAUAGAACAACGACACUCUCUAUUGCUUAAGGAAUGUUUAAGAGCAAGAAAGCUAAAUGCCAACAGAAACACCAAAAACCCAAAAACGCACAUGAAGAUAAUCUUGAUGACCCAAGGCGUUAACCAAAUUGGAAUGGAAGCUGGGGAUAUUGUGAAACAUUUGGAUGGUUGAGAGCAACGAGUAAGUUCAUACAUCUGAUAUCAAGAAACUCUAUCAAGAGUAUGUAUGUGUUUAAGUUUUGGUAAUACACUUAUGUCUGAAAUGGUACGUACAUGCAUAUGUUGGUCUUUAUGGUUACCUUUUAUUCUGCAACUCAUUAUUUGGUUGGAUUUGACUAUUUAUGUUCGAGAUAUUUCUCACAUUGGACUGUGUACAGCUAGUAGAGAGGAGUUAGAUUGGGACACAUGAACCUCAAAUCAUAUAUCAUCAUCAAGAGAUAUGAGCUAGGGAAAUUACCCUUGUAAAUCUUUGCAACUCUAUUUAUACCCUUAAAGCGCUUUCUAUCUAUAACAGUAUUUAAAUGGCCGUUAUUUUGUUUGCAUGUUUAGCACCUCUUGAUCAUGUAUCUGGCUUAGCUGCACCCAAUUCCUUGUCAAAAAUGGAUAGUGUGCUACAAACCAGUUUUUUCUCCCUUAAAUAGCCGUAAUUUUUUGUAUGAAUUAUAUCAUUUAAUUUUAUAUCGCUUAUCACUGUAAGUGGCGAAAUUUGUAUAUGCUCAAGAUAAUGGAGGAGUAUUACGUCAAAACCAAAUUAUUGAGUGUCAGAUUGUACAUGCCAGAUGGAUUGACAUGACCAGGGGAUCUCUCAGGUUCUUCUGAUCACUUUUUAAGAAUUGGGGAGCAUCAUUACAGACAUUCGGAGCAACUAUCUAGAUGCAGGGAGUGCCCAGCAGACCUGAGGAGGAACUCUUUGGACCUAGGAAGCCACUUUACAUGCCUGGGAGGCAGCUCAAGGAACCUCAAACCGGCUGUGCGCUUGGCUUAGGAACGUACGUCUGUGUAGAAUAAAUCUAGUUGAUCUAUAAGGUUUUGUUAAUUUCGAUUAAGGUUGAUACUAAAAUCGGAGAUUGUGUAAAAUAGUUUGUUUCUUUCCUUAUGGUGAAGUGGGAUUCACUAUACUCUGUAACAAAUAUAUUGUUUCUUAAUGAAAUUAAAUUUUCUUGUUUUAAUUCAAUA